rnacentral:rRNA from 1 species
UACGUAGGGUGCAAGCGUUAAUCGGAAUUACUGGGCGUAAAGCGUGCGCAGGCGGCUUUGCAAGACAGAUGUGAAAUCCCCGGGCUUAACCUGGGAACUGCAUUUGUGACUGCAUUGCUGGAGUGCGGCAGAGGGGGAUGGAAUUCCGCGUGUAGCAGUGAAAUGCGUAGAUAUGCGGAGGAACACCGAUGGCGAAGGCAAUCCCCUGGGCCUGCACUGACGCUCAUGCACGAAGGCCAGGGGAGCAAACGGG